CUAUGUACAUUUAAACAAAAUGGAGGCUCUUUAGUUUUAUUCCAAUGGCCAUAAGAGCCUCCAUUUUAUUUAAAUGUACAUAA